AGUGAACGCUGGCGGUAGGCCUAACGCAUGCGAGUCGAACGGCAGCACAGUAAGAGCUUGCUCUUACGGGUGGCGAGUGGCGGACGGGCGAGGAAUACAUCGGAAUCUACUUUUUCGUGGGGGAUAACGUAGGGAAACUUACGCUAAUACCGCAUACGACCUACGGGUGAAAGCAGGGGAUCUUCGGACCUUGCGCGAUUGAAUGAGCCGAUGUCGGAUUAGCUAGUUGGCGGGGUAAAGGCCCACCAAGGCGACGAUCCGUAGCUGGUCUGAGAGGAUGAUCAGCCACACUGGAACUGAGACACGGUCCAGACUCCUACGGGAGGCAGCAGUGGGGAAUAUUGGACAAUGGGCGCAAGCCUGAUCCAGCCAUACCGCGUGGGUGAAGAAGGCCUUCGGGUUGUAAAGCCCUUUUGUUGGGAAAGAAAAGCAGCAGGUUAAUACCCCGCUGUUCUGACGGUACCCAAAGAAUAAGCACCGGCUAACUUCGUG
rnacentral:rRNA from 1 species